rnacentral:lncRNA from 1 species
CCAAGCCUGGAGCCCAUACAAGCUCCAUCAUCUGAGAACUGACAUAAUACUGACGUCCAUCUCACCCCAAAGACAACCGGGGAGCGGGCGUCUCUUCCACUCCAGGGUUGCUGGUCAGUCUGGGCUUUUUCCAGAAGGGGAAAUUCAAGCUGGCCUUGGGUUUUUCCUUUGGGUGUGAGAUUUGAGUGGCAGCGUUGUCCCUACCCCACCUUCGUUCCUCUCCUCUUCCCUAUUCCAAACUUUAUUAUCUAGGUAUGGAUUAAGGAGGAUGCUGCCCUCACCCUCUCUUUUCUCUUUCCAGACUUCUGUGUCCAGUUCCGGAUCUCUGGGAAGACGGGUGGCUGUGAGGAGAAGUUCUUAAAGGACGUCUCAGAGCUCCUGUCCCACCAAGGGGUCUCUCUACAAGUGAAGGAGUUCACGGAGACCUCGAAGGACCCCCUUCUGCUCUUCUGCCCCAUAGCUUCCCGCAAGGGCACUGACAUUGAAAAUGCCCUCGAGGGGAUCAGUGGUGAGCAGAAGGUCCUCCUGGUGGUGAUGCACUAUACACCGAAGGACAACCCAGGAACCCCUCUGGAGGCUAAGCACCGGGUGCCCCAUCCAGCCGUGGUGGGGACCGUGCACACCCGCUACACCCUUAAGGAUGGCUUCUAUGCUUGUGAGAUGAACGCGGUGGCCGUGGCUGACGUGGCAGCUGCCAUCAAGGCCCUCAGCGAGGGUCACUGAGGGGAGGGGACUCUGGUGUUUCGGGUGCCCUUCUUGCGUGAUGU